AAUUUUCAAAUUCAAAAAUGAAAUAGAGAAAGAGAAAUAGAAUGGAAUGGAAAAGAUCAAAAAUCAAUAAAAUUAAGGCGGAUAGAAAAACUUAUUAGAUACCAUGGAUUCGGAUAUCUAAUAAGUUAUACCUACUAUUGGAUUUGAACCAAUGACUCCUGCCGUAUGAAAGCAAUACUCUAACCACUGAGUUAAGUAGGUAAUUUAGAAUCAAAAAGAGAAAGAAAUGGAACCUGUCACAUCGAUGGAUUAUAAAUGUAAUAUUAUUUAUAAGCAAUAUCGA